rnacentral:rRNA from 1 species
AUUGAACGCUGGCGGCAGGCCUAACACAUGCAAGUCGAACGAGUGGCGGACUGGUGAGUAAUGUCUGGGAAACUGCCUGAUGGAGGUGGAUAACUACUGGAAACGGUAGCUAAUACCGCAUACCAUCAGAUGUGCCCAGAUGGGAUUAGCGUGUUGGUGGGGUAACGGCUCACCAAGGCGACGAUCCCUAGCUGGUCGGAUAGGUUGACCAGCCACACUGGCGCUGAGCCACGGCCCAGACUCCUACGGGAGGCAGCAGUGGGGAAUAUUGCACAAUGGGCGCAAGCCUGAUGCAGCCAUGCCGCGUGUAUGAAGAAGGCCUUCGGGUUGUAAAGUACUUUCAGCGGGGAGGCGUUACCCGCAGAAGAAGCACCGGCUAACUCCGUGCCAGCAGCCGCGGUAAUAC